rnacentral:tRNA from 1 species
CGGGGCGUAGCGCAGCUUGGUAGCGCGUUCGGUUCGGGACCGAGAGGUCGCUGGUUCAAGUCCAGUCGCCCCGACCA